rnacentral:tRNA from 1 species
GUGAUUGUAGCUCAGUUGGUAGAGCUCUGGAUUGUGAUUCCAGCGGUCGCGGGUUCGAGUCCCGUCCAUCACCCCA